rnacentral:rRNA from 1 species
AUACGGAGACUACGAGCGUUACUCGGAUUCACUGGGCGUAAAGGGAGCGCAGGCGGGCUGGUGUGUUAUGUGUGAAAUGCCGGGGAUUAACUCCGGAGCUGCGCGUAAAACUACCAGUCUUGCGCCUUGGAGGGGUAAGCGGAAUUUCCGGUGUAGCGGUAAACUGCGUAGAUCUCGGGAGGAACCCCGAAGGCGAAGGCAGCUUACAGGACAAGGUCUGACGCUCAAGCUCGAAAGCGUAGGGAGCGAAAGGGAUUAGAUACCCCUUUAGUCCACGCACUAAACGUUGUUCACUAGUUAUUGGAGGAAUCAUCCCCUUCAGUGCCCCAGCUAACGCGAUAAGUGUACCGCCUGAGGACUACGACCUCAAGGUUAAAACUCAAAGGAAUUGACGGGG